rnacentral:rRNA from 1 species
CCUACGGGUGGCAGCAGUGAGGAAUAUUGGUCAAUGGACGCGAGUCUGAACCAGCCAAGUAGCGUGAAGGAUGACUGCCCUACGGGUUGUAAACUUCUUUUAUAAAGGAAUAAAGUGAGGCACGUGUGCCUUUUUGUAUGUACUUUAUGAAUAAGGAUCGGCUAACUCCGUGCCAGCAGCCGCGGUAAUACGGAGGAUCCGAGCGUUAUCCGGAUUUAUUGGGUUUAAAGGGAGCGUAGAUGGGCUGUUAAGUCAGUGGUGAAAGUCUGCGGCUCAACCGUAAAAUUGCAAUUGAUACUGGGAGGCUUGAGUAUAGUUGAGGUAGGCGGAAUGCGUGGUGUAGCGGUGAAAUGCUUAGAUAUCACGAAGAACUCCGAUUGCGAAGGCAGCUUACCAAGCUGCCACUGACAUUGAUGCACGAAAGCGUGGGGAUCAAACAGGAUUAGAUACCCGUGUAGUC